CCCUACGGGGCGCAGCAGGCGCGAAAACUUUACAAUGCGGGCAACCGUGAUAAGGGAACCUCGAGUGCCUGUAAAUGCAGGCUGUUCAGGUGCCUAAAACACACCUGAAGAAAGGGCCGGGCAAGACCGGUGCCAGCCGCCGCGGUAAUACCGGCGGCUCGAGUGGUGGCCGCUUUUAUUGGGCUUAAAGCGUUCGUAGCUGGGUUGUUAAGUCUCUUGGGAAAUCUGGCGGCUUAACCGUCAGGCGUCUAAGGGAUACUGGCAAUCUUGGAACCGGGAGAGGUGAGGGGUACUUCGGGGGUAGGAGUGAAAUCUUGUAAUCCCUGUGAGACCACCUGUGGCGAAGGCGUCUUACCAGAACGGGUUCGACGGUGAGGGACGAAAGCUGGGGGCACGAACCGGAUUAGAUACCCGGGUAGUCCCAGCCGUAAACUAUGCUCGCUAGGUGUCAGGCAUGGCGCGACCGUGUCUGGUGCCGCAGGGAAGCCGUGAAGCGAGCCACCUGGGAAGUACGGCCGCAAGGCUGAAACUUAAAGGAAUUGGCGGGGGAGCACAACAACGGGUGGAGCCUGCGGUUUAAUUGGACUCAACGCCGGACAACUCACCGGGAACGACA
rnacentral:rRNA from 1 species